rnacentral:rRNA from 1 species
ACGGGAGGCAGCAGUGGGGAAUAUUGCACAAUGGGGGAAACCCUGAUGCAGCGACGCCGCGUGAGUGAGGAAGUUAUUCGUAAUGUAAAGCUCUAUCAGCAGGGAAGAAAAUGACGGUACCUGACCAAGAAGCCCCGGCUAACUACGUGCCAGCAGCCGCGGUAAUACGUAGGGGGCAAGCGUUAUCCGGAUUUACUGGGUGUAAAGGGAGCGUAGACGGCUUUGCAAGUCUGAUGUGAAAGGCGGGGGCUCAACCCCUGGACUGCAUUGGAAACUGCGGGGCUCGAGUGCCGGAGGGGUAAGCGGAAUUCCUAGUGUAGCGGUGAAAUGCGUAGAUAUUAGGAGGAACACCAGUGGCGAAGGCGGCUUACUGGACGGUAACUGACGUUGAGGCUCGAAAGCGUGGGGAGCAAACAGGAUUAGAUACCCUGGUA